CGGAAAUCAGCCAUGCAAGCUUCCUCCCUGACUCCACUGCAACAGCUGAGGACGGGGAGCUCGCUAACCCUCGGGAGCGCCUUCUGCUGUAGGAAGCUCCAGACCUGAGCUCAGCUUAAACCACAGCCCACCUUCUGUGGCUCCGUUAGCCCCAAUUCUGCUCACAGACGCCCCACAAACCUUACUCCCUUUCUCCUAUGUUGUCUUUUGGGUCUCUGAAGACAACUAUCGCAUCUUCUCUCCAAGAAGUCUUAAGCAUCAGGCUUGGUCAUUUCAGCCUCCCGCCCUGCUCCUGCUCCAUCCAUCACUCUGCCCUUUCCUGACAUGUAAAGGGCACCAUCUCUUCUCUUCUCAAAACUCACCCUUCCACCUGUGCCCUCGCCGCCACCUCCUCCCGUCCUCUCUGUGACCUGGGGAUGGAAAUGAACUUGGGAAUCAGUUUUCACAAAAGAAAAGGAAAGCUUUGCAGCCACGUUUAUAGUUCGGAGGCCCAGUAAUGGUGAGACCACCAACUACGACCAGAAGUCAGAUGCCGGGUCGGGAGGGAGAUCUGAACUCAGGCUUCCACCAUGAUGCACUGUCUCACCAUGGGCCCAAAGCAGUGGGCCCAGCCACGGACUGGAACCUCCCAAACUGUACUGACUGGUUCUUUGGAUGUUGAGAGAGACAGUGGGGAGCAAAGAGAGAAUCACUGCUGAUUUAAGGAGAAAAAAAUUAAUCCAAUUCAAAGGCACAAUCACCUCAGCCACCCAGAGCAGUUGGAGUCUCCCUUUCCUCUCAGAGUCUCAUCUAAGCCCCCAUGUGCCCUGAUUUUCUUCUCCACAUGCAGAGGGAAAGGAGCACUGUUCUUAGAGUCAGAAGGGAUGGGAUGAAAAGAC
ensembl:lncRNA